UACGUAGGGGGCAAGCGUUGUCCGGAUUUAUUGGGCGUAAAGAGCGUGUAGGCGGCCAGAUAGGUCAGCUGUGAAAACUCGAGGCUCAACCUCGAGACGUCGGUUGAAACCAUCUGGCUAGAGUCCGGAAGAGGAGAGUGGAAUUCCCGGUGUAGCGGUGAAAUGCGCAGAUAUCGGGAAGAACACCCGUGGCGAAGGCGGCUCUCUGGGACGGUACUGACGCUGAGGCACGAAAGCGUGGGGAGCAAACAGG
rnacentral:rRNA from 1 species